GAUUUCUGGGCUCAAGAAUUUGGCCGGCCACGGUUUCGUGUGUUAGUGCUUUGUUCUGUGUCCAUCCUUCCAAUUGCUAUUGGCUAUUCUUCAUUGAUUGGUCAGUAGUAUUGGAUCUUUUACUUUGAAAAAAUUAGAGUGUUUCAAGCAGGCUUUAUGCUAUGAAUACAUUAGCAUGGAAUAAUAAUUUAGGACUUCUGUUCUAUUUUGUUGGUUUCUAGAACUAAAGUAAUGAUUGAUAGGGAUAGUUGGGGGUGCUAGUAUUCAGAGGCCAGAGGUGAAAUUCUUGGAUUCCCUGAAGACUAACUUAAGCGAAAGCAUU
rnacentral:rRNA from 1 species